rnacentral:rRNA from 1 species
CCCUUAGAUGUUCUGGGCUGCACGCGCGCUACACUGAUGCACUCAACGAGUUUACGACCUUGCCCGAUAGGGUUGGGUAAUCUUUUUAAAAUGCAUCGUGAUGGGGAUAGAUUAUUGCAAUUAUUAAUCUUCAACGAGGAAUUCCUAGUAAGCGCGAGUCAUCAGCUCGUGCUGAUUACGUCCCUGCCCUUUGUACACACCGCCCGUCGCUGCAACUGAUUGGGUGACCUGGUGAACAUCUUGGACCGGCCCACUCAAUUUCGAGAGGACUGGAAAAGGCCGUAAAUCAGGUACAUCUAGAAAUUGCAAAAGUCGUAACA